AUAAUGCCAAGGUCGUGGGUUUGAUCUUUGCACAGGCCAUUCACUUAAGAGCUGGACUCGAUGGUCCUGUGGUCCUUUCCAACCAAGAAUAGUCUGUGACUGCAUUUGAGUGAAAGUGUGGGCACCCCCAUUAAGUUCACAAGCUUUCCUCACCUGCAACUCCCAUCAUAUCCCCUCCUUGUCAGACCUUCCAUCCCUGUAACUUGUUUAUCUUCCAAAAACACUGGUCGUCAGACACAAUGGCCAUUGUUUUGGGAGGAUCCAACAUGUUUAAUGCUCAUUCUCUGUAGGUUUCUCUAGGAGGGAAACAUUUUCUGCACAACUGGCAAGUACAUGGGGGCAGGCACUGCACCCCCCCUCAGACACUGUAUCCACCACUGAUGGUGAGAGAGGUCAGGCCAGUCAUGGUUGUUUCAAUGGUUCUUUCAGGGACAGGAAAGAGUGAAGAGCACUUUAAAAAAGGAGUUAGAUGUUGUCACACUUCAGUGCAAGGGUAUCUAAAAUUCCUCCUAGAACCUGAUAUUAGGGAUAUGCAUUUAAAGCCUGCUAUUAUUAUUUAGAAUCUGUCAUUAGAACCUUGCUGGUUUCUCAUAUCCCACCAUCUCCUAGCCUUCCUGAGUUACUAUGAAAUCAGACAGCUGGCAGAGCUAGCCUAGAGGCCUGAAAAAGGGACUGUGAAAGGCAGGAGGUGCUGUGAAGAUCCUCUUUGUCCAUGGCACCAAAGAAAAGCCCUGUAGAAUAACUCCACCUGAUUUCAAGAGCUCUUGCUUCUGAACAGCACAAAACAUCACCAGAGUAGGAUAAUUUGCAGCUCUGCAAAUGGAGGAGAUGUUACAGGGCCAUUAUGCCUCAGCUGCGGCUGGGGGAGGCAAGGGUCCUUGCCAGAUCCUGGUGAUUAGAAAGGGGACAAAGCAGAUGUCCUCAGUGUGAAGCCAGUGACAAGUCACCCUCCUCCCCACGUGGUCCUCCCUUGCAGCUGCCAGCCUGCCAGCCUUGACCACAGUGGGAGCUUUGCACUGCCCAGGACACAUGGAGAGAAAAGUGAAACCUCGGGACUGGAAAGGCCAAGACAUGAGCGGAGCACAGCCAGGGUUGGACCUACAGAUCCUCAGAGCACUGACUCUCUCUUCCUCACAAAGUUACCAACUGGCUCCAGUUCCUUCUCAGCUUAUCUUUGGUAAUUGGCCCAGCUGCAACUCCUGAGGGGUGAGAUUACUUUCUGCACUAUCUUUAUUUUCUUAUAUUCUAUCCCCCCACACUGUAGGGCUAGUAAGUUCUUACCUUUUCUAAAAUAAGUGCAGGCAUAAACUCAUUGGCCUGUGACUACAGUGUAAGGGUAAGUUCCUAGACUGGCUUUUCUUUAUGAGCAUGGGUGGUACAUUUAAUGUCACACGAGUUUGUGCUAGUUUAUCAAACACCAGAGUGCCUAAACUGGGCAAGAUUAAUGCCUUUGUGACAGGUAACACAGCUAGCCACCUGAGCUGGUCCUCACAUUUACAGGAUUAUGGCAGCACUAGAGAGUUCACUUCUGUAGAUUCUUUCUAACAAGUCAGGAGAAAAAAUGCUUCUUUACUUGCUGAGAUGUUAGUUGUAAAUUGAAUCAGAUUAUCACUUGUUUGUGCUAAAAAAAAAAAAUUGAAUCAUGUCAGUCAUUAAUGGAUUAGCUGAUAAUGCUGUUAACGUACAGACAGAUAUUGUGAGUGACUUCUGAAGCCUGUAGAAAGAAGCUUUGAAGUCCAGCUUCUGAAGAAUCCUUCAGAAGUCUUUCUAGAGAAGGAAAUUAUGCCAAAGCAUAAGAUGUUAUGUAGCAAAAAAAAGGGGGACAAUGCUGACUUGUGAGAGAUACAAGGCAGAAGGGGUGCUUUUCCAGAGUGGUAUGAGAUGUGUCUGUGAAUCAUGAGUUUGCUGGCUUUAACAGUUUGCUUUCAUUUAGCUUAUUUGUUUUAGGAAAAAAUUUGCUUUAUAUGAGAAGCUUGAGAGCUGGAAAGUUGCCUGAAGACUGGAAGAGGACACAGCAGAACUACAGUAAAAUAUGGUUUUUUUAUGGUUAUACUGUGGUGGUACCAAAGCAGCAUAGGCAAUGCUUGCCCUACAUCUGUCAUUGCAGCCUAAAUUAUGGGUCAGUCCAUCAGACCUGGCAAAUGGAGAAGUUCCUGCCAAGACCUAUAGGAAGACCUCAGAGAAAGGACCAGGGUUUUGCAGGCCAUGACAAUGGCAGCCAAAAUUAAGCUGUGAAGAUGAAGAUUUUCUCAAUUUGAGAACUGGACCCACACUUCCACCCUACAUCUCCAUCAUAUUCUCUCAUCAUAUUUUAGUGAGUUCUAGAAACUGAUGAGUAGAAAGUAAGAGAUUGUAGCCUUCACCUGGGAGCAAAAUAAUCUCACUUUCCCUGGGUAGCUCAGCCCAUAAACUGGUAGCUCUUGUUUAAGGUGACUUUGCUUGAUGUUAUGAAUCCAAACUGCUUGUCGAGAGGUGUCCAAAUUCUUUUGCUCACUGCCCCAGGUGGGUGAACAGGGCGGGUGUCGCUUGUCCGGGCUGGAUGGUGACAGGGAGUGUGACAGACCCCGCUUUGAGCCCUGCUGAAUCCCAGCUACCAGUGACAGUGCAGCAUGGAAACAGAAGAGCAGCACCACGGGUCCUGUGGUAACUUUUUUUUGAUGGCAAAAUUUCCCCUCUUCAGCGUCCCAGGACCCCAAACUGGGGGCAGACAGUAACUUACAUACAGGGACAGGUCUUAAGGGAGGAUACAAUCUUUAACUAAUCAGGAGAAUUGGGAGUAAAAAACAAGGCAGGGAAUACAAUGUAUAAACCAAUAAAGAAUUUCAAGGGAGGAGCAGAGUGUCAGUGAACUAAUAGAGUUUGGAGAAAUACAAAACUGACAAGGAAGUUUCUCGAGGGAAGGCAGGUUUGAGGAGAAACUGGCAUUUAAUGAAAGGAGGAGUGAGGAAAGUUCUGGGGAAAAGGCAGGAACAAAAAGUAGAGCAUAAGAAAAUUACAAAAUUACAAAUGAAACAGUAAGCAUAACUGUUUCAUUUGUAAUAAAACAAAUAACACACUACUUACAGGUGGGUACCUUUAAUGUGUACCCUUCCACAUAGCACUGUCAACACACCAACGUCUCUCAUUUCCCAUGGAGAAAUUCUCUGCUCUUGGGGAUGCUACACUAAAGAGAUGUCUCAUUGGUUGCUGUCACAUGGAUCAUCUCCAUUCCUCACUACAAUUAUUCACACCAGACCUUGCAAGUGCUCCACCUACAACUGCAUCACUGUAAAGUUUUGGAUGAGAAAUGUGUAUGAGAGUAAUGCCUAAAAUAUUUAGAUCUCAAGCAAGUAAGGCAGUUCUAGCUGACAGGCUCUUUACUGGGCAACCAAGGUAACAUAGUCCUGGAUUCUACCAUCCAGUAUUAAAGAUACUUCAAGGAAAUUAAAUUGAAAUCCCACCAAAAUUUCUUCUUAUAUCAAUGUAUUUUAGUUUAUUUUAACAUUGUAUUUAUUCUCAUUGCUAUAUAUACCUUUCAUUUAUGCAUAUUGGGGGUGGGAAUGGGGAGAGUAUUGUUUAUGUGUUGUAUGUUCUCUGGCCAGAGAAAGCAAGAGAUGUGACGAUGCAAACAUACAAAGCAUGUAUUACCUCCACAUCAUCUACAUUUCUCUGAGAUUCACUGAAGUUUAGAAAUAAAGAUCCUCUGAACCAC